GGGGUCACCCAUCCUAGCACUAAUGCACCGGAUCCAUCAGAAUCCCAUCAGAAUCUGCCGCAGUUAAGCGUGCUUGGCAGAGAGUAGUACUAGGAUGGGUGACCCCCUGGGAAGUCCUCGUGUUGCAACCC
rnacentral:rRNA from 1 species